rnacentral:rRNA from 1 species
GACGAACCGUGCGAACGUUGUUCGGAUUCACUGGGCUUAAAGGGCGCGUAGGCGGGCGAGCGAGUCCGGGGUGAAAUCUUUCGGCUUAACCGGAAAAGGGCCUUGGAUACCGCUCGUCUCGAGGGAGGUAGGGGCAGGCGGAACUUCCGGUGGAGCGGUGAAAUGCGUUGAUAUCGGAAGGAACGCCGGUGGCGAAAGCGGCCUGCUGGACCUCUUCUGACGCUGAGGCGCGAAAGCCAGGGGAGCGAACGGG